UCAGACCAUUAAAGUAACCUGCUCUGAGCACUCUAAUUUUUUCAAAGUAAACGUGCCGGCCACUCGGGACACUCGAUGAAGAGCACCCAGUGCGAGCCGGCGGGACUAGUUAGCUGUUCGGAGCGUGACAUAAGCACCAGGUGGUGUACCGUCAGUCCGGAACUGAGAUCCAACUACGAGCUUUUUAACCGCAACAACUUUAAUAUACGCUAUUGGAGCUCGAAUUACCGCGGCUGCUGGCACCAGACUUGCCCUCCAAUUGAUCCUCGUUAAAGGAUUUAAAGUGUACUCAUUCCGAUUGCAAGG